GACUGCCACAAGGUUGGUGCAAUGCUACCUGCUAUAAAACUGAUAAAUUGAGCAUUCCAAGCACAGUGAGAUCAAUAUUUAUCAAAGCUUUUUGUUAUUAUACCAAUCAUUUUUAAUUUAUAUGAGGUAUGGAGCAAAUCAGGCUGAAAACCAUGGCAGUGAUCCACUGGAAUAUAGUAGCAAAUAAUCUUGUAACUGAUAUAUCCUGGUCAGGAGAACAUUGGGUGCAAUGAGGGAAAAUUCAUCCCAGAUGGGAAACCAGUCCAUCAAAAGUCAUCACAACACAAUGUGGACAUGGAGCAGUCUGGACCCUCCCAGCCUGCAUCACAUUUACAGCUGCAGGUGCUGUGCUGGUAUACACCAUGGCCACUACAGCUUGUGUCCACAUCUAGUGCUUGUAAAAGUAAAUCUCCUGAAUCAGCAGAACAUUUGGCAAAAUGAAUACCUGAACAAGGGACCAUUUGAAACUAAUACCUGAACUUCCUCUGCAGCAGCCUUGAGCACACUGGGACUUCAGCAUGGCCUGACCCUCUGUUGCUUGGUCCUUUGAAGGCAAAACUGCCUGCAAGUCCUGCUUACAACCAGAGUCAAUUCUGUACACAUGGCUAAAUGUGACUGCUUUCUCAGACUCUUCUGCCUGUGUAGCAAGUGUGACCAAACCCAGCAUCCCAAAAAGGAGCAAAGAAAGCCAAUUUAGCCUGGGAAUCAUGGCCUGUGAAUAAAACACAUGAACAAUUUUCAAUGCACAUCCAUGUGGAAAUUCAGAGAUAGACCAUACAUUGAAUUACAUGCUCACCGAAAUACUACUGAUUUUUAUUCUCUCUUUCUAGCAGGGACCUUGGCUUUGUUAAAUGAACAAUAAAAUGUAAGCUUGAUCCAGA